rnacentral:lncRNA from 1 species
AAGUGACUGAGGGGGGGAUAUAUUAUCAUGUGGCCUAAUUGCAACUGUGGGACUGUCUUUGAACUCUGGAACCAGGGAGAUGAGAACCCGUAGUUGGUUGGUCUAUCUUGUAGUUGAGAGAUGGUGAACUCUGGGCAAAAGUAUUGUUUUGUGGGGGGGCUCAUAAGACAAAACAGGGAACAGAAGCUGGACCACUCUCCAUGACUCUACUAGAACCCAGCAAAACAAAGGGACUAGGGGCACAAGGAAGACCCCUGGGUGCAGUUGUUUGUUAGUGUCCUCAUGAUAAGUGCAGUUGGCAGAGGCAGUGUGGCAGCGUGUUGACAGCAGAGACCUCAUGGAGAGAGAAGAUGCUUUACCAGAUGGUGACUUGUGCCUCAUAGAAGAGGUUGUGACUCCUGGGGCCCUGUCAUUUGACAUGUAGGGGCCUAUGGUCGUAGCUUACAAUAUUAUGAGAAAUGUAACAUCACUACAAUAGUUAAGUGCAUGGAUUUUGGAACCAGACUAUCUGGAUUUGAGUCAUAAUGUGGCCUGGGUUACUGGACCUCUCUGAGCCUUAUUUUGCUCCUCUGUAAAUUAAAGAUGAUAAUACAUUUAUUUCAGAAGGCAAUGAAUAUUCCAGGAUUUAGUAUACAUAAAACAUAUAGAACAAUGUCUAACACAUAAGAACUGUAUACUUAUUGAAGAUUUUUUUUUUUUUUCCCUUUCUGAUUGAUGGCAUCUGAAACAAACUUCUUACAUGGAUAUACUGGGAUAGAACUCACUUUCCCAACUGUGGUUCCUGUUGCAUCCUGGAAAAUUAUAUUAAAAUUUCUUUCUGAUGUUAAGGCAAUUUGUUUUCUUGGAACUUCUCCACAUUGGUUCCAAUUUUCUCUGAAACGUUCCAAAAUAAAU